AAACCAUGCAUCAGACAAUUUAUAAUUAGUUCCUUGAAAUGCUCCCAUGCUUCAUAUAAUGUCUCAUCUUUCAAUUGCUUGAAUGAUGUAAUGUCAUUCCUACGCUU
rfam:Gossypium raimondii Chr04_contig_377, whole genome shotgun sequence.